GGGGAACAUGGAUAACAACCUGUAUUCAACAGGAUUUUCUUGUGUCUACAUGCCAUGAAAAAGGUGAAGACCAUUUAUUGGCAACAAGGGCAUAUUACAUGUUGCAUUGCCAUAGUUGAAGUGGAGAACAGAGACAGGUGGACUUUCUUUCUUCCACUUGUAUAUACAGACAAUACAAUGAUUGGGGAUGUAAUGGAGGGCAAAAGGUUUGU
rnacentral:lncRNA from 1 species